rnacentral:rRNA from 1 species
AUACGGAGGGUCCGAGCGUUAAUCGGAAUUACUGGGCGUAAAGCGUACGUAGGUGGCUUGAUAAGUCGGAUGUGAAAGCCCUGGGCUCAACCUGGGAACUGCAUUCGAUACUGUCUGGCUAGAGUAUAGUAGAGGGAAGUGGAAUUCCGGGUGUAGCGGUGAAAUGCGUAGAUAUCCGGAGGAACACCAGUGGCGAAGGCGGCUUCCUGGACUAAUACUGACACUGAGGUACGAAAGCGUGGGGAGCAAACAGGAUUAGAUACCCCGGUAGUCC